UACGUAGGGGGCAAGCAUUGUCCGGAAUCAUUGGGCGUAAAGCGCGUGUAGGCGGUUCAGUAAGUCUGCUGUGAAAGUCCAGGGCUCAACCCUGGGAUGCCGGUGGAUACUGCUGGACUAGAGUGCGGAAGAGGCGAGUGGAAUUCCCGGUGUAGCGGUGAAAUGCGCAGAUAUCGGGAGGAACACCUAUGGCGAAGGCAGCUCGCUGGGACGUUACUGACGCUGAGACGCGAAAGCGUGGGGAGCAAACAGG
rnacentral:rRNA from 1 species